UACGACACAACAAAAUUGCAAU
rnacentral:miRNA from 1 species